rnacentral:rRNA from 1 species
CCUACGGGGGGCUGCAGUGGGGAAUAUUGGACAAUGGGGGGAACCCUGAUCCAGCCAUGCCGCGUGUGUGAAGAAGGCCCUCGGGUUGUAAAGCACUUUCAGUGAGGAAGAACGCCUGGUGGUUAAUACCCAGCAGGAAAGACAUCACUCACAGAAGAAGCACCGGCUAACUCCGUGCCAGCAGCCGCGGUAAUACGGAGGGUGCGAGCGUUAAUCGGAAUUACUGGGCGUAAAGCGCGCGUAGGUGGCUUGAUAAGCCGGUUGUGAAAGCCCCGGGCUCAACCUGGGAACGGCAUCCGGAACUGUCAAGCUAGAGUGCAGGAGAGGAAGGUAGAAUUCCCGGUGUAGCGGUGAAAUGCGUAGAGAUCGGGAGGAAUACCAGUGGCGAAGGCGGCCUUCUGGACUGACACUGACACUGAGGUGCGAAAGCGUGGGUAGCAAACAGGAUUAGAUACCCUUGUAGUC